ensembl:lncRNA
UUGACCCAUGUCUGAGUCCAAUAUAACUGAGAUUUACCCAGCAAGCUGUCCAGCAAACACACCGAGGAGGGCAGUGAGUGAUCCCAUGAAUUCUCAUGCGCCGGGCACACGGUUCUGCAUCAAAUCUACUGAUCUGGCACAACUUGAAGAGAAACACGUUUAUACAAAUAAUUAAACCCAACAACAAGUGUUUAGGCUGGAGACCAAACGAGAUGGUAAUGUAUUCCACAUGUUGGUAUCAGGCUUCAAAUACGGUGCUAUAUGAUUGUGCCUUUCAGCAUAUGUCUAAAAAGAGAAGAAAAUACUUGAUUUCCAUUUGCCAUAAAAUCACCAGACACAACAGCCAAACAAGUCAGAAAAACUGGUAGGCCUGCGUUUACAAACACAAAUAUUAUUGAGUGCAGAACCAAUAAAUCUGCAGCUCAGAGGCCAAUGAUUCAUGAAUCAUUACAAAACGUCUCAGAACGGUUUAUGUGUUGUAAUGUGAAAUAUGACUCGUUUUAUUGCCCAUAUUUACUUCAUACCUUGUCACGUCCUGCGCGUGCUUUACAAAGCGAAUAAUUUAUAAGACCGACCAGUUUGUUGGUCACUUUUGGCCUAUGCCAUCAUCAGCAUGAGCUUAACAGGGAUCGAUCGGUCUUUUAACGGGCCUGCCUUAUUGGAAUCAAAUGACACACAAACACAGGCCGCUCUCUAUGAAGUCAAGGUGUUCAAUAUCACCCUUUCUUCAGUAGCUCUGUGCAUCCUGACGGUGACAGGAAUCAUCAGCUGUAUAUUGUACCGAAGACACAGAAGGAAGUGUAAGCGGGCACACGUCUAUGAGAGCGCCGUGGCCUGCGAGGUUCCUGAAGAGCCAGCGGGUGUUAUGUGUGUGAGGAAAACCCAUAGUUGUCGUAACCCGCUCGCCCUGUUUAGAAGACAGGAGGGGCUGAAGGACAACUCACGCAUCCACUACAUCUACACCAACCCUCUGCCUGUAGGACACGAGGAGGACAGGAUCCCCCCUCACUCAGUGUCCAUACACACCCCUCUCCCACUGCAGGACUACGCCAACGACCCCAACAGCGGCAUCAUCCUAGCCCCACCCAUUUUUUUACAUGCAGCUGUAGAAAGGUAGUAUUUAAGGCACAGUUUGCUCACCAUCAUGUGAUACGACACAAAAAGAGACGUUUAGCAGAAUGUCCGUGCUGCUCUUUUUCUUAAAAUGUAAAUGAAUGCUUGUGUAAGACAAAGGCUGUGCAUGUUUUUCCACACUGUUUAAUUGGCUCAUAAA